GCCGCGUGAGGGAUGAAGGCCUUCGGGUUGUAAACCUCUUUCAGUAGGGAAGAAGCGAAAGUGACGGUACCUGCAGAAGAAGCGCCGGCUAACUACGUGCCAGCAGCCGCGGUAAUACGUAGGGUGCAAGCGUUGUCCGGAAUUAUUGGGCGUAAAGAGCUCGUAGGCGGUUUGUCGCGUCUGGUGUGAAAACUCAAGGCUCAACCUUGAGCUUGCUUACGGUACGGGCAGACUAGAGGGUGGUAGGGGUGAAUGGAAUUCCUGGUGUAGCGGUGAAAUGCGCAGAUAUCAAGAGGAACACCGGUGGCGAAGGCAGUUCACUGGGCCUUACCUGACGCUGAGGAGCGAAAGUGUGGGGAGCGAACAGGAUUAGAUACCCUGGUAGUCCAUGCCGUAAACGUUGGGCACUAGGUGUGGGACUCAUUCCACGAGUUCCGCGCCGCAGCUAACGCAUUAAGUGCCCCGCCUGGGGAGUACGGCCGCAAGGCUAAAACUCAAAGGAAUUGACGGGGGCCCGCACAAGCGGCGGAGCAUGCGGAUUAAUUCGAUGCAACGCGAAGAACCUUACCUGGGUUUGACAUACACCGGAAUCAUGUAGAGAUGUGUGCGUCUUCAGACU
rnacentral:rRNA from 1 species